GACGAACGCUGGCGGCGUGCUUAACACAUGCAAGUCGAACGGAAAGGCCCUGCUUUUGUGGGGUGCUCGAGUGGCGAACGGGUGAGUAACACGUGAGUAACCUGCCCUUGACUUUGGGAUAACUUCAGGAAACUGGGGCUAAUACCGGAUAGGAGCUCCUGCUGCAUGGUGGGGGUUGGAAAGUUUCGGCGGUUGGGGAUGGACUCGCGGCUUAUCAGCUUGUUGGUGGGGGAGUGGCUUACCCAGGCUUUGACGGGUAGCCGGCCUGGGAGGGUGACCGGCCACAUUGGGACUGAGAUACGGCCCAGACUCCUACGGGAGGCAGCAGUGGGGAAUAUUGCACAAUGGGCGGAAGCCUGAUGCAGCAACGCCGCGUGCGGGAUGACGGCCUUCGGGUUGUAAACCGCUUUCGCCUGUGACGAAGCGUGAGUGACGGUAAUGGGUAAAGAAGCACCGGCUAACUACGUG
rnacentral:rRNA from 1 species